rnacentral:tRNA from 1 species
AAGAUUUUAAGUUAAAAAAACUAUUAACCUUCAAAGUUAAACUUACUUUUAAAUAGUAAAUCUUA